UAUAAUAACCAAAAAUAGAGAAACGGGUAUGCCACGUUAAGGGCCUUACUUAUUGUCAAAGUCAAAGAAA